UGAGCAACCUGCCCCUGACUCUGGGAUAACCCCGGGAAACCGGAGCUAAUACCGGAUACGACACGCGAAGGCAUCUUCUGCGUGUAGAAAGAUUUAUCGGUCAGGGAUGGGCUCGCGGCCUAUCAGCUUGUUGGUGGGGUGAUGGCCUACCAAGGCGACGACGGGUAGCCGGCCUGAGAGGGCGACCGGCCACACUGGGACUGAGACACGGCCCAGACUCCUACGGGAGGCA
rnacentral:rRNA from 1 species